rnacentral:lncRNA from 1 species
AUUAACAAAUUACUUACAAGUUUUAAAUGUAUUUCUAAAACAAAUAUGAUGUUGUUUAACUAAUAUUAUUCGAGUCAUGUUUUAACUAACAUGACAAUAGUAUUGCUUGAAACCAAUUUUGUUUUUCUAAGGAUUGGGGUGGUUUGUGCUUGUGCAAUUUUAAUGUCUCUUGUUAUAAAGUUAGGUUGGAGUUUGAUAUCUCAAUCGGGAAAUGAUAUCACCUCUAGUGCUUGUAGUGAGUUAAUUGUUCAUAAGUCUAACAAUCUAUUCAAGAGACGAGGAAUUUGGUUUUAAAAGAUGGUCAAUGGAUUUUGGAAAAUAGCAAGUCGAUUUAGUUCUACGUUGAUUGUUCGCAACCUUAUGGGCUAGUUACUGAGGACUAUGUUACUCAAACGAUCCUAUAACACAUAGAUCUUCACCUAGUGCAUCUUUUUAAAUGAGGAUGGUAUGUGGGACUUAAUGUUAUUGCUCAAUACAUUCCAGAUUGUCACCAAAUGGAAAAUUUAGCCACGAUGCCUCUUUUAUGACCUGUUGGAAGAUUAUCAUUUUGUUUGGUCAUUCACACUGAAUGGAGUAUUCUCAACCAUGUCAGCUUACCAAUUGAUGGAAAAUCAAAAUUAAUAUCCUAGGGGGAAUGGGAUUUGGAACAUGCUCUAGUUGUGGGAAGGUCAUCCACGGGAGAACCAUCUUAUAUAUAAAACCUUGUAAAUGGGACGGUUAUAAAAGCUGCCUUUUCUGUUUCAAAACCC